UACGGGGGGGCGAGCGUUGUUCGGAAUUACUGGGCGUAAAGGGUGCGUAGGCGGCUUCUAAGUCGGAUGUGAAACUCUGGGCUCAACCCAGAGCCUGCAUCUGAAACUGGAGAGCUAGGGUUUGGAGGGAAGCGGAAUUCCAGGUGGUAGCGGUGAAAUGCGCAGAUAUCAGGGGAACACCGGUGGCGAAGGCGGGUCACUGGGCCGAUACUGGACGCUGAGGAGCGAAAGCGUGGGGAGCGAACAGG
rnacentral:rRNA from 1 species